rnacentral:rRNA from 1 species
ACAGCAGUCGCCGCGGGAAUACAGAGGGUGCGAGCGUUAAUCGGAUUUACUGGGCGUAAAGCGUGCGUAGGCGGCUUUUUAAGUCGGAUGUGAAAUCCCUGAGCUUAACUUAGGAAUUGCAUUCGAUACUGGGAAGCUAGAGUAUGGGAGAGGAUGGUAGAAUUCCAGGUGUAGCGGUGAAAUGCGUAGAGAUCUGGAGGAAUACCGAUGGCGAAGGCAGCCAUUUGGCCUAAUACUGACGCUGAGGUACGAAAGCAUGGGGAGCAAACAGGAUUAGAUACCCCUGUAGUCCCUGUCUCUUAUAC